rnacentral:misc_RNA from 1 species
GAAGAACCAUCACUGCCCACUGUGGUAUCACCAUCAAAGUCCCUGAAGCCUGAAUUAUAAGAAUCAUGUCACCGACGCUGAACGGACAACCAUCUGAUCAUUUUGACUCUGAAAGGCAAUUUAGAGUACAUUCCCCGGCAACAAUUCUUUAUAAUUAAGGAAUUUGUCAAUAAACUCAUGAUUGGGAUCAAAUGAUCCAAGAUUUUAUAUCAUGAACAUCUCAGCCUCUGAUAUGUAAGAAUUGCACAAGAAAAUUAUACCUCUAAAGCUCAAAUGGCAGUAAUUUCCAGAUACAGGAACCAAAUUUGUAGUUUUAAUCAACAAGGCUCCCU